GAUGAACGCUGGCGGCGUGCCUAAUACAUGCAAGUCGAGCGAACGGACGAGAAGCUUGCUUCUCUGAUGUUAGCGGCGGACGGGUGAGUAACACGUGGAUAACCUACCUAUAAGACUGGGAUAACUUCGGGAAACCGGAGCUAAUACCGGAUAAUAUUUUGAACCGCAUGGUUCAAAAGUGAAAGACGGUCUUGCUGUCACUUAUAGAUGGAUCCGCGCUGCAUUAGCUAGUUGGUAAGGUAACGGCUUACCAAGGCAACGAUGCAUAGCCGACCUGAGAGGGUGAUCGGCCACACUGGAACUGAGACACGGUCCAGACUCCUACGGGAGGCAGCAGUAGGGAAUCUUCCGCAAUGGGCGAAAGCCUGACGGAGCAACGCCGCGUGAGUGAUGAAGGUCUUCGGAUCGUAAAACUCUGUUAUUAGGGAAGAACAUAUGUGUAAGUAACUGUGCACAUCUUGACGGUACCUAAUCAGAAAGCCACGGCUAACUACGUGCCAGCAGCCGCGGUAAUACGUAGGUGGCAAGCGUUAUCCGGAAUUAUUGGGCGUAAAGCGCGCGUAGGCGGUUUUUUAAGUCUGAUGUGAAAGCCCACGGCUCAACCGUGGAGGGUCAUUGGAAACUGGAAAACUUGAGUGCAGAAGAGGAAAGUGGAAUUCCAUGUGUAGCGGUGAAAUGCGCAGAGAUAUGGAGGAACACCAGUGGCGAAGGCGACUUUCUGGUCUGUAACUGACGCUGAUGUGCGAAAGCGUGGGGAUCAAACAGGAUUAGAUACCCCGGUAGUCCACGCCGUAAACGAUGAGUGCUAAGUGUUAGGGGGUUUCCGCCCCUUAGUGCUGCAGCUAACGCAUUAAGCACUCCGCCUGGGGAGUACGACCGCAAGGUUGAAACUCAAAGGAAUUGACGGGGACCCGCACAAGCGGUGGAGCAUGUGGUUUAAUUCGAAGCAACGCGAAGAACCUUACCAAAUCUUGACAUCCUUUGACAACUCUAGAGAUAGAGCCUUCCCCUUCGGGGGACAAAGUGACAGGUGGUGCAUGGUUGUCGUCAGCUCGUGUCGUGAGAUGUUGGGUUAAGUCCCGCAACGAGCGCAACCCUUAAGCUUAGUUGCCAUCAUUAAGUUGGGCACUCUAAGUUGACUGCCGGUGACAAACCGGAGGAAGGUGGGGAUGACGUCAAAUCAUCAUGCCCCUUAUGAUUUGGGCUACACACGUGCUACAAUGGACAAUACAAAGGGCAGCGAAACCGCGAGGUCAAGCAAAUCCCAUAAAGUUGUUCUCAGUUCGGAUUGUAGUCUGCAACUCGACUACAUGAAGCUGGAAUCGCUAGUAAUCGUAGAUCAGCAUGCUACGGUGAAUACGUUCCCGGGUCU
rnacentral:rRNA from 1 species